GAUGAACGCUGGCGGCGUGCUUAACACAUGCAAGUCGAACGAUGAAGCCCAGCUUGCUGGGUGGAUUAGUGGCGAACGGGUGAGUAACACGUGAGUAACCUGCCCUUAACUCUGGGAUAAGCCUGGGAAACUGGGUCUAAUACCGGAUAGGAGCGUCCACCGCAUGGUGGGUGUUGGAAAGAUUUAUCGGUUUUGGAUGGACUCGCGGCCUAUCAGCUUGUUGGUGAGGUAAUGGCUCACCAAGGCGACGACGGGUAGCCGGCCUGAGAGGGUGACCGGCCACACUGGGACUGAGACACGGCCCAGACUCCUACGGGAGGCAGCAGUGGGGAAUAUUGCACAAUGGGCGAGAGCCUGAUGCAGCGACGCCGCGUGAGGGAUGACGGCCUUCGGGUUGUAAACCUCUUUCAGUAGGGAAGAAGCGAAAGUGACGGUACCUGCAGAAGAAGCACCGGCUAACUACGUG
rnacentral:rRNA from 1 species